UUACUUACGGAUAAAGAUUUCCUCCAAACUAGGUUGGAGGAAGUUGCUCCAAUCCAAUUUGGAGAAAAACUGUCCCCCUUAAAAAGAUUAAAAAAAAGUUGUGUUCAAAAUUGUGUAAAUUUAUGAAAUCUUGCUUUGCACAUUGAAUGUUGCAUUCUUUGUUUAGUCGCAUAAUUGGGUUAUUCAGUCAUAAUUUACUUGAUUACCGGUCCUAUAACAAAUGUUACAAAAUUUCUUACUGGUUCAAAACGAGCCUUUAGAUAACGUGGCCUCAAACUUCCAAGCUCCACAAAUGAAAAAGCUAAAGGCUGCAUUACAUACAGAUAAAUUCAUUAACAGAAUACUCUGCUUAACUAUUUUAGCCCCUGCCCUCCAACCUUCCUGCUCAUGUCUCUGUCCUUGUAUGUCUUUGUGCUCGUGCGCACGUGUUUUAAUUUUUGCUUCAAAAGGAAGAAAAGUUAUUCUAAAAUGCUAACCAGACAAUUUGCUAAUAAUUACCAC
rnacentral:lncRNA from 1 species